rnacentral:rRNA from 1 species
AGUGGCGGACGGGUGAGUAACGCGUGAGAAUCUGCCUUGGGGUCGGGGACAACCACUGGAAACGGUGGCUAAUACCGGAUAAGCCGAUUGGUGAAAGAUUUAUUGCCCGAAGAGGAGCUCGCGUCUGAUUAGCUAGUUGGUGAGGUAAGAGCUCACCAAGGCAGCGAUCAGUAGCUGGUCUGAGAGGACGAUCAGCCACACUGGGACUGAGACACGGCCCAGACUCCUACGGGAGGCAGCAGUGGGGAAUUUUCCGCAAUGGGCGAAAGCCUGACGGAGCAAGACCGCGUGAGGGAGGAAGGCUCUUGGGUUGUAAACCUCUUUUCUCAGGGAAGAAGCUCUGACGGUACCUGAGGAAUCAGCCUCGGCUAGCUCCGUGCCAGCAGCCGCGGUAAUACGGAGGAGGCAAGCGUUAUCCGGAAUUAUUGGGCGUAAAGCGUCCGCAGGUGGCAAUUCAAGUCUGCUGUCAAAGCACGGGGCUUAACUCCGUUAAGGCAGUGGAAACUGAAUAGCUAGAGUGCCGUAGGGGUAGAGGGAAUUCCCGGUGUAGCGGUGAAAUGCGUAGAGAUCGGGAAGAACAUCGGUGGCGAAAGCGCUCUACUGGACGGCAACUGACACUCAGGGACGAAAGCUAGGGGAGCGAAUGGGAUUAGAUACCCC